rnacentral:rRNA from 1 species
UCGGAGGUACUCGAGUGGCGAACGGGUGAGUAACACGUGGGCAAUCUGCCCUGCACUUCGGGAUAAGCCUGGGAAACUGGGUCUAAUACCGGAUAGGACCUCAAGACGCAUGUCUUCUGGUGGAAAGCUUUUGCGGUGUGGGAUGGGCCCGCGGCCUAUCAGCUUGUUGGUGGGGUGACGGCCUACCAAGGCGACGACGGGUAGCCGGCCUGAGAGGGUGUCCGGCCACACUGGGACUGAGAUACGGCCCCAGACUCCUACGGGAGGCAGCAGUGGGGAAUAUUGCACAAUGGGCGCAAGCCUGAUGCAGCGACGCCGCGUGGGGGAUGACGGCCUUUCGGGUUGUAAACCUCUUUCACCAUCGACGAAGGUCCGGGUUUUCUCGGAUUGACGGUAGGUGGAGAAGAAGCACCGGCCAACUACGUGCCAGCAGCCGCGGUAAUACGUAGGGUGCGAGCGUUGUCCGGAAUUACUGGGCGUAAAGAGCUCGUAGGUGGUUUGUCGCGUUGUUCGUGAAAUCUCACGGCUUAACUGUGAGCGUGCGGGCGAUACGGGCAGACUAGAGUACUGCAGGGGAGACUGGAAUUCCUGGUGUAGCGGUGGAAUGCGCAGAUAUCAGGAGGAACACCGGUGGCGAAGGCGGGUCUCUGGGCAGUAACUGACGCUGAGGAGCGAAAGCGUGGGGAGCGAACAGGAUUAGAUACCCUGGUAGUCCACGCCGUAAACGGUGGGUACUAGGUGUGGGUUUCCUUCCUUGGGAUCCGUGCCGUAGCUAACGCAUUAAGUACCCCGCCUGGGGAGUACGGCCGCAAGGCUAAAACUCAAAGGAAUUGACGGGGGCCCGCACAAGCGGCGGAGCAUGUGGAUUAAUUCGAUGCAACGCGAAGAACCUUACCUGGGUUUGACAUGCACAGGACGCGUCUAGAGAUAGGCGUUCCCUUGUGGCCUGUGUGCAGGUGGUGCAUGGCUGUCGUCAGCUCGUGUCGUGAGAUGUUGGGUUAAGUCCCGCAACGAGCGCAACCCUUGUCUCAUGUUGCCAGCGGGUAAUGCCGGGGACUCGUGAGAGACUGCCGGGGUCAACUCGGAGGAAGGUGGGGAUGACGUCAAGUCAUCAUGCCCCUUAUGUCCAGGGCUUCACACAUGCUACAAUGGCCGGUACAAAGGGCUGCGAUGCCGUAAGGUUAAGCGAAUCCUUUUAAAGCCGGUCUCAGUUCGGAUUGGGGUCUGCAACUCGACCCCAUGAAGUCGGAGUCGCUAGUAAUCGCAGAUCAGCAACGCUGCGGUGAAUACGUUCCCGGGCCUUGUACACACCGCCCGUCACGUCAUGAAAGUCGGUAACACCCGAAGCCAGUG